GGCCUUCUGGCGCUCACCACAGGCUGUUUUUAUAUGGACUAUAUAGAAAAGGGAGGCAAAGUAAACCCAUAUACUCCCCAGCCCAGGGCCCUUGUCUGGUCUGUAUUGUGAAUGUGGGGGAGGUGG